UACGGGGGGGGGCAAGCGUUGUUCGGAAUUACUGGGCGUAAAGGGCUCGUAGGUGGCCAACUAAGUCAGACGUGAAAUCCCUCAGCUUAACUGGGGAACUGCGUCUGAUACUGGAUGGCUUGAGUUUGGGAGAGGGAUGCGGAAUUCCAGGUGUAGCGGUGAAAUGCGUAGAUAUCGUGAGGAAGACCAGUGGCGAAGGUGGGUCUCUGGACAGUUCCUGACGCUGAGGCGCGAAGGCCAGGGGAGCAAACGGG
rnacentral:rRNA from 1 species